rnacentral:lncRNA from 1 species
GUGGAAUCCAGUUUACACACCUAUUUUCUUUGGCACACAAAAUGUUCUUCUCUUUUUAAAUUUGUUUCCAACAUUAACAGAGCAGAAGGUUUCACAUAAAUAUCUGAGUUUCUGUCAUUUCUUGAAAAAAUAGCAGAUUUGGCUGUGCUGAGCCCCAAAUUCCGCAGAGCUAUGGUUACUGUUACUGAUUUAGGUGGAGCCAGGGUUCUAGUUCACGCCAGUCCUUACCACUCCUUCUAACCUUAACCUGACCUGUUUUAUUCUAUCACCUUAUCUGCCCAUGUCAGGAAAUGGUUGGUAAAUGCUCUUUUCUGUUCCCUA